AGCCGGGUCGUCUAGCGGCCAAGGAUGCGGGGCAGGGGCCCCCGUGACCGGGGUUCGAAUCCCCGCCCGGCUACCA
rnacentral:tRNA from 1 species